AGCGAACGCUGGCGGCAGGCUUAACACAUGCAAGUCGAGCGGGCCUUUCGGGGUCAGCGGCGGACGGGUGAGUAACGCGUGGGAACGUGCCUUCUGGUUCGGAAUAACUCAGGGAAACUUGAGCUAAUACCGGAUACGCCCUUUUUGGGGAAAGGUUUACUGCCGGAAGAUCGGCCCGCGUCUGAUUAGCUAGUUGGUGGGGUAACGGCCUACCAAGGCGACGAUCAGUAGCUGGUCUGAGAGGAUGAUCAGCCACACUGGGACUGAGACACGGCCCAGACUCCUACGGGAGGCAGCAGUGGGGAAUAUUGGACAAUGGGCGCAAGCCUGAUCCAGCCAUGCCGCGUGAGUGAUGAAGGCCUUAGGGUUGUAAAGCUCUUUUAUCCGGGACGAUAAUGACGGUACCGGAGGAAUAAGCCCCGGCUAACUUCGUGCCAGCCGCCGCGGUAA
rnacentral:rRNA from 1 species